UGGAUUUUUAAAUGAGUGCUAAGAGAAUGAUUGAACAAUUAUAGGCUUUCUUUAGUUAAAUAAUUAAAUUUAAUUUUUUUAGUGCAAAAGCAAAAAUUAAAUUUAGGGACAAGAAGACCCUAUGAAUUUUAAUUUAAUUUAUAAUUUGAAAUUUUAAAUUAAAUUUGAUUGGGGCGAUGGAAAAAGAAUGAGUAUCUUUUUUAGUUUUAAAAAUUGGUUCCGUUUUUAACGAUUAAAUGAGAAAAAUACUCUAGGGAUAACAGCGUAAUAAUUUUGGAUAGUUCUUAUAGAUAAAAUAGUUUGCGACCUCGAUGUUGGAUUAGGAUUCUUUCUUGGCGAAGAAGUUAAGAAAAAGAAGUUUGCUCAACUUUUAAAUUCCUACA
rnacentral:rRNA from 1 species